UAAUCCUCCAGAGUCUUAUUUAAUCAAAAUGAUGUUGCUAAUUAAGGAUUAAAACCUCCGAAUAGAAUAAAAAAGAAGGAUUUUUCUUUCUCCUUUGGGCAGGUCAAGGAGGCAGAAUUUGCUGCAAGGAAGUAAAGAGUCCCUUCUACCUUUGGCAGUGCUACUUACCAGUUAAAAAAAGACAUCGUUUUUUGUGAUCCAUACUCCUGAAGGCCAAAAGCACCCAGUGGACAGACGAUGGCUCUUACGCCUCCAAUGCCAAGGCAAAUGGUCAGCAGUGCUACAUAAAACAGCCUGUGCUGCUCUGUUUUUGGUGGAUGGAGCCUUCUUUGCCACAAACAGAGUUGAGAAAGCUGGGGACAGAGGAGUGUGAGUGGAAGGAGAGGGGACCUAAAGUGACAAAAGAAGGGGCUUUCACAAUGUAAAGACUAUAUGCCCUUAAUAGCUAUUUUUCCAAAGUUGGGAUUUCCAUCCUGUCUGAUGACUGACCUCAGAAUUUAGACUGAUAGAAAUUACCAUGUUAAACAAGAAGUCAACAAAUGCUACUGGUGUGGCCUGUUACCAAGGUAAGC
rnacentral:lncRNA from 1 species